UUCAUAAUAUGUGAUGUGGGCCACUGAAAUUGUAGCCACACAGAGAAAAUUAAUAAGGCCUAUGCUCAAGGAUGACCCAAAUUUAUGGAAUAUUUCACAUUUUG
ensembl:snRNA U6 U6 spliceosomal RNA